CACGCUCCACACGAUUAUUAUUUUAAUUGAGCAUGCGGCCAUCCAAAAGAGGAUGUAACACCAGUAGCUAUAGUUGGUAGGGAUACCAAUUGUUAGUUACAUUAGGUGU
rnacentral:sRNA from 12 species